UCCUGCAGCAUGACCUCUUUCUGCAGGGCGGGUCAACAGUUUCUGGACCCCGGUAAGACCUGGCCGCCUCUGACCUAUUCUUUGGCCCCCUGAGCAUCGCGGCUUCAGAACCAGGGAUGAUCCUGCUGCCUGGGAACGGGUGCUGUGCUGACCAGCAAGAGGCCAGGAGCACCGAGGCUAGCAAAGACAGCCUUGCCAGAUUAUUCCUGCAGGUUGGCCCCAAAGUGGCCAGCCAGGGUCCAACGCUGGAUGGAACACGGAGAGCCCAGCCUCUGAGACUCCGCCUGAGGUUUUGCAACAGGGUGCUCCCCAGGAAAGGGGGCGGUUCCAGUUUCCCUGGCCCACCCAAGCUUGGGAGGGUGGAGCUGAGCAGGGAGAAGAAGAGGCUGCAGAGGUGACUGAGGAAGGAAGGAAGCAGGAUGGAGAGCCAGAAGGAGACCUGGAGGAGGCACAUGGAGCCGAGAGACACGUGAAGAAACUGCGCUAGCCUUUUGGUCGUGGACUGGGUGACACAGAUGUGGGUGAGAGACCUGUGGGGAGGUGACAAAGGCGGUUUUUGUCUUGAUUUUGAUUUUGCCCGUUUCCCUCCAGACUUGUCUGGUUGUUUGUGAUCCUUUUCCGUGGGUCCUCACUGGAAGAUGCUUUAGACUUGCGGCAGGCUCUGGGGCCUUUCUCUGGGCCAAUCCUGCUUGGGUGGACUUUCACCCACGAGGGGACGGGUAACUUUGGGUGCUUGAUUUAGAAGCUCUAUUCUUUGCCUUUCCUGUUUUGUGUCCUAAUUGUAUUAAAGUUCCUUCCCAUUAAAGUCUCAUAUGUUUUGUGUUGAGGCGGCGGAUGGCAGAACCUAUUUAGCGCAGGCAGGUUUGCGGGGUCUGGGCUGCCCCUCUCCCUGCCCUGUCACAGUUUUACGCCAGGACCCCCCUCCCUGACAAGGGCUCGGCCACCAUCCCACGUUGCCUUGCAAGUCUCUUUUAGACAGGACGGUGCUUCCUGCCCUGGCCUGGAACUUCAGCCUCUGUUCCAGGACUUGGAGUGGCCAGGUCCUGCGGCUAAGGGAGGGGGCGGUUGGGGGGU